AUUUUAUAACAAUAACUUUGCUAAUUUGCACAUAUAUUUUGUUAUUUUAUUAAAGAGCUUUUCCAGCACUUUACCAUGGAAGCCGUAAACGAAUGAAAAAAUUGGCACCUGAACCUGCAAAAGUUACGUCUGUAAAGUUCUUAGAAUUUCAAUUCUGCUUGCUUUCAAAAAACUCCCAAAAGACUCCCAAAGAUGAAACAGUUCUCUUACAAGCAGGGCUAGGCAGAAGAACUGUAAAUAUUCCAGACAAUGCUGAUCAUACUGAGAUAACCAAAGUACUUCUUCAGGAGUACCCAAAGUUGCAAAACUUAAGAGGUGGUUGGCUGCUCCAAAAAGCCUCAGGGGGCAGUGGACAAAGGAAAACAACAUCUCUGGCCCAGGAUUCCCAGGGCUACACAGCAAAAAUAUUGAAGACGUC